AUUGAACGCUGGCGGCAUGCCUUACACAUGCAAGUCGAACGGUAACAGGUCUUCGGAUGCUGACGAGUGGCGAACGGGUGAGUAAUACAUCGGAACGUGCCUAGUAGUGGGGGAUAACUACUCGAAAGAGUGGCUAAUACCGCAUGAGAUCUACGGAUGAAAGCAGGGGAUCGCAAGACCUUGUGCUACUAGAGCGGCCGAUGGCAGAUUAGGUCGUUGGUGGGAUAAAAGCUUACCAAGCCGACGAUCUGUAGCUGGUCUGAGAGGACGAUCAGCCACACUGGGACUGAGACACGGCCCAGACUCCUACGGGAGGCAGCAGUGGGGAAUUUUGGACAAUGGGCGCAAGCCUGAUCCAGCAAUGCCGCGUGCAGGAUGAAGGCCUUCGGGUUGUAAACCGCUUUUGUACGGAACGAAAAGCCCUGGGUUAAUACCCUGGGGUCAUGACGGUACCGUAAGAAUAAGCACCGGCUAACUACGUGCCAGCCGCCGCCGUAA
rnacentral:rRNA from 1 species